GCCCCUAUAGUUCAAUGGACAGAACAGUUCCGUCCUAAGGAAUUGAUCUCCGUUCGACUCGGAGUAGGGGCA
rnacentral:tRNA from 1 species